rnacentral:rRNA from 1 species
AGUGAACGCUGGCGGUAGGCCUAACACAUGCAAGUCGAACGGCAGCACAGUAAGAGCUUGCUCUUACGGGUGGCGAGUGGCGGACGGGUGAGGAAUACAUCGGAAUCUACUUUUUCGUGGGGGAUAACGUAGGGAAACUUACGCUAAUACCGCAUACGACCUACGGGUGAAAGCAGGGGAUCUUCGGACCUUGCGCGAUUGAAUGAGCCGAUGUCGGAUUAGCUAGUUGGCGGGGUAAAGGCCCACCAAGGCGACGAUCCGUAGCGGGUCUGAGAGGAUGAUCAGCCACACUGGAACUGAGACACGGUCCAGACUCCUACGGUAGGAAGCAGUGGGGAAUAUUGGACAAGGCGGGCAAGGCUGAUCCAGGCAUACCGCGUGGGGGAAGAAGGACUUCUGGUUGGAAAGCCCUUUAGUUGUUAAAGAAAAGCAGCAGGUUAAUACCCCGCUGUUCUGACGGUAGCCAAAGAAUAAGCACCGGCUAACUUCGUG